rnacentral:ncRNA from 2 species
AGAGUAAAAUAGUACGUGAAAUUGUUGAAAGGGAAACGAUUGAAGUCAGUCGUACCGACGAGAAUUCAGCUCUUCAAGUUGAACUUGUGGGCGUGCGUGAGCUUUAAAACCUCGCUGCUUGCAACGUUUGUGCUUUUUGGGUGUACUUUUUCGUAUGGUUGGCCAACGUCAGUUUCGUUUACCAUAAAAUGAUCGGAGGAAUGUAGCUUUGAUCUCGUAUUGAAGUGUUAUAGCCCCUGGUAGAUGUGGUGAACGAAACUGAGGAUUGCAACGAAUACCCUUUGGGCUAUCCGUCUGACCUCUGAAAGUUGCUUAGGUGCCGAAAGCAUGCUUACGGUUAUUUAAGUUGACGGUCAACAGGUUAGAACGUGAUUACAUUCGUUAAGGAUGUUGGCGUAAUGGCUUUAAACGACC